AGAAACUACUGUGGCCGCGCAUGCGCACUAAAGCUCUUAGCACGCUUCCGGUGGCGGGAUGUCCACACUUUUUCCAGUGAGGGGGCCACAGACUGAAAAAUCAAAGGAGGCAAGGGCCAUUUUGAUGCAUUUGAGAGGCAGCAGGCAAAGGAAUGAUGAAAGCAUUCCCUCCACAACCAGAAAAAUGUGCACGGCCCCAAGUGAGAGCAGUUCCUGAACAGUUUCACUGAGCUGUGCCCGACCAGGUGCUUGCCCGCAAGCCUGCCCCCCGGCCCAAAACCACAUCCGGGAAAGCUGAAUUAGGAAGUUGCAAAGCAAGGUUGGUGGCAUGAACAAAGUCGCUCUCUCUCUGGUAACAGAGCAACGCAGGAAAUGAUCACUGAUCAGCGGGAGUGACACGCUAACAGCCAAUCAGUUUCACAAAUUCCUCAGUAAAUUCACCAGGUCGUCACUUUGGAGUUAUUGAGUCUGUUCAUCUGAUUGGAAUGCAAGCUUCCGCAGCUCGUCGGUCCAUGACGAUGACUUCUGUUUUGUUCGAUCUGCCGUUUUACUGUACAGACACCCUUUGGAAACAGUUAAGCUCAGGACUUAAACGGCGGCGCUGUACCUGGUUGUGCUGCCAAAGCCACAUGACAUCGUAUGGCAACUGGAAAUGGAUCCUCUUCAGCCUCAAGUACUUCCCUGCGGGACACAAGAGGAGUCGGAGGAUGAGAGCGUUCGAACCUGACGGCCAGACUUUGGCCUCGUGUCCACUCACCAACAUGGAUGGGCGCAGUGGAACCCGUUUAUGUCGACGCCCCUCGGACUGGCUGACUGAUGUUGACGUAGAUUUUUUCAGAGCAUUGAUUUCCGUUUCCACAGCAGCGAACUACCGACUUCUGGCAACAACUAUGUGGCCUACUUCGGGAAACCAAGGCGAGUUUGUUCCAAUCAUGGCAGAUUCGAAGGAAGAGUGAGACAUUGGAGCAGAUAGAAGAUGAGAGAGUGAGGUGAAAAUGACUCGACGCUGCAGAAUGUGCAACUCGACAUAAAUGGAGUGCUUGCCCAAAUAAAUCGGAAAAAACGUCCCCGGCCAGCUGGACCAAACGCACAACUGUCCAUUGAGGUCUACAUUGGAUGUCAAAGUUGACCAACUUGUCUGUUUAAAGCCACAUCCUUCUACUAUCCAGUUGGAUGUCAAAGUUGACCAACUUCUCCGUUUAAGGCCACAUCCUUCUACUAUCCAGUUAGAUGUCAAAGUUGACCAACUUGUCCGUUUAAGGCCACAUCCUUCUACUAUCCAGUUGGAUGUCAAAGUUGACCAACUUCUCCGUUUAAGGCCACAUCCUUCUACUAUCCAGGGUCUACAUUGGACGUCAAAGUUGACCAACUUGUCUGUUUAAGGCCACGUCCUUCUACUAUCCAGUUGGAUGUCAAAGUUGACCAACUUCUCCGUUUAAGGCCACAUCCUUCUACUAUCCAGAUGGAUGCAUCUGAAACCCUAAGUCAAGGUGACAAGCAGAUUUCCAUCCAUUUUCUACCGCUUGUCUCUUUCGGGGUCGCUGGAGCCUAUCUCAGCUACAUUCGGGCGGUA